GUGGUUUUGGGGUUUUUAGGGUGGUUUUUGGGUCAGUUUGGGGUGUUUUAGGGUCCCUAGAGGGCCAUGGCCGCCCAGCCCAGGAUGAGCAGGGACAGUUUGGGGGUUUUAGGGGUGGUUUUGGGGUGGUUUUGGGUCAGUUUUGGGUGUUUUGGGGUCUCUAAAGGGCCAUGGCUGCCCAUCCCAGGAUGAGCAGGGACAGUUUGGGGUGAUUUUGGGGUGUUUUAGGGUGAUUUUGGGGUGAUUUAGGGUGAUUUUGGGGUGUUUUGAGCAGUUUUGGGGUGUUUUAGGGCAGUUUUAGGGUCUCUAAAGGGCCAUGGCCGCCCAUCCCAGGAUGAGCAGGGUCCCCCCCAGCGGCGCCGCCCGGUUGAGUUUGGGGUCCCCGGUGAGGCCGUGCAGGUAAAAGGGGGCACAGAAGAGCCCCAGCCCCGCCAGCAGCAGCGACCCGGCCUG